rnacentral:rRNA from 1 species
CGGGUGAGUAACGCGUGAGGAACCUGCCUUUCAGUGGGGGACAACAGUUGGAAACGACUGCUAAUACCGCAUAAUGUACGGGUAUCGCAUGGUACUGGUACCAAAGAUUUAUCGCUGAGAGAUGGCCUCGCGUCUGAUUAGCUAGUUGGUAGGGUAAUGGCUCACCAAGGCGACGAUCAGUAGCCGGCCUGAGAGGGUGAACGGCCACAUUGGGACUGAGACACGGCCCAAACUCCUACGGGAGGCAGCAG